UUGUUAAAUCCUUCUGGACCUCAAACACCUUGCUUUUCUUGAGAAACUCGAGUAAAAAUGAGCUUUUGAAGAAUUGCAGGUGGUAGGGGCCAGGGAAACAAUC
rnacentral:pre_miRNA from 1 species